CAGACAGGGAAAUGUUUUCUUGCUUCACAGAAGAGACAGAAAGAAGAGAUGGUCUAUUUUCCACCUCGGGAUGCUGUCCUGCUGGCAGGUGAUGAUUGGUGAACUAGUCCAAAGACAAGCAUUCCCUCCUGACACGGGAAGUGUUUGGUUUCUCCUCUAUGCCUCAAACAUUUGGCUCUCUCCUGCUGUCAAAAAGUGGCAAUGAAGAAUUCAAAGCAAGAGAAGAAUUUAGAGAUGGAUAGAGAGAGGAAACGUGGCUCCAUAGGAACCCCAGGCCAGACAUUCAGCACUCUCCCCCUACACCAGUGGGUUCUAACCAACGGAAGGCAUGCCCAAGGAGCCAAGAAGAGAUUAAAAUGCAGGAUCUACUUUUUAAAUAGUAAAGCUGGUCUGAAGAAUUCCACAGAGCCCCUUCUGUCUCCAAAUCAGGGUUCCAGACUCAUAGGGCUCUGAUCUCCCUACCCAGUUACCAAAAGAGAAAUGAGAAUAGAAACUGCAGAUUGCUGUUGGGGCCACCAAGUCAGCUUAUUACACCGUGGUGGACAUUCCUGGUGCUCAGGACUUCCCCUUCUUCUUCUCUUCCUUAUCAUGUAGGAGGCAGUGUUGGUUUACCCUCUCUGAAGUUGGGCAGAACGGUGUGACCGGCUCUGGCCAAUGGAUUGUCCAUAGCAGGAACUGAAAUGUGUCAUUUCUGGGCUGAAGCAGGAAAAGUACAAUUCUCUAUGCUCUCUGUGGAGUCCCCUUCAGCCCCCAAGCCCACACAUGACAAUUUGGCCCAGUCCCUGGUAAUCACGGAGGCUUUUCUUGGGCAGGCUUCGUGGUUGGGGGGGAAGCUGUGCUCCUCACAUUAACUUUGGUUCACACACAGCGAAGGCACUGUGGUCUCUGGAGGCAGUAGUAUUCGAUGAGUAAGCCCCCUCCCCGCCCCGCCCCCACCCCAGCCUCCAGGUGGCCUGCUUGUAGGCAAAUCUGUGUUCUCAGCCUAGGCACCUCCUUUUGAAAGCCUCUCCAAAAGAGGUCAGAGUUUGAGGAUACUUUUCUUCACUCUGACUAGAUACAUUUCCACUUCUAGCCCUUCCCCUCCCUCUGCCUAGCCCCUGAGUCCAAAAGGUAGUGGUAGUCUUCUGCUUAAGGAUCUUCUUUCCCCCACCUCCCCCACUAACCGUCUGUGAUGUCUGUCAUCUCUCCCCAGCCUGGUGCUGUUCCCCAUGGAAAAAAGGAAGGUGGCAGGCUUUCCUAUUUGGCCUUACAGUCUCGCAGAGAGUGAAAUCAAGUCUUAAUUGUUACUUUGAGUUUGGCUUAUUGUAAAACCUCUGUUAACUGAAACACCCAGGGUGUGCAGUGUUCUGUUUACUAACCUUCAGUUUACUACUAAAAUCUUCCUCAAGUUCAUGUGGAUAAAAGCAUGCGCCCACUUUUCUGCUUUAGUUUUAAUAUAAUGUCAUCAUUCCAA
rnacentral:lncRNA from 1 species